rnacentral:rRNA from 1 species
CAGUCGCCACGGUAACACAGAGGGUGCGAGCGUUAAUCGGAUUUACUGGGCGUAAAGCGUGCGUAGGCGGCUUUUUAAGUCGGAUGUGAAAUCCCUGAGCUUAACUUAGGAAUUGCAUUCGAUACUGGGAAGCUAGAGUAUGGGAGAGGAUGGUAGAAUUCCAGGUGUAGCGGUGAAAUGCGUAGAGAUCUGGAGGAAUACCGAUGGCGAAGGCAGCCAUCUGGCCUAAUACUGACGCUGAGGUACGAAAGCAUGGGGAGCAAACAGGAUUAGAGACCCCAGUAGUCCCUGUCUCUUAUAC